rfam:Xiphophorus maculatus strain JP 163 A Contig18558.1, whole genome shotgun sequence.
ACAAAGGCUCUUUUCAGAGCCACACACAAUUAAUCAAGAGCUUGUU